GGUGAGAUGGCCGAGUGGUCUAAGGCGCUGUGUUUAGGUCUGUUCCGGUUCACCCGGGACAACUUUGUACCGCAGUCAUUCGUGGCGUGGGUUCGAAUCCCACUCUCAUCA